UACGGAGGGUGCAAGCGUUAUCCGGAUUCACUGGGUUUAAGGGUACGUAGGCGGGCAGGUAAGUCCGUGGUGAAAUCUCUGAGCUUAACUCAGAAACUGCCAUGGAUACUAUUUGUCUUGAAUGUUGUGGAGGUAAGCGGAAUAUGUCAUGUAGCGGUGAAAUGCUUAGAUAUGACAUAGAACACCAAUUGCGAAGGCAGCUUACUACACAAAAUAUUUGACGCUGAGGCACGAAAAGCGUGGGGGAUCAAAACAGG
rnacentral:rRNA from 1 species